rnacentral:rRNA from 1 species
GACGAACGCUGGCGGCGUGCUUAACACAUGCAAGUCGAACGGAAAGGCCCUGCUUUUGUGGGGUGCUCGAGUGGCGAACGGGUGAGUAACACGUGAGUAACCUGCCCUUGACUUUGGGAUAACUUCAGGAAACUGGGGCUAAUACCGGAUAGGAGCUCCUGCUGCAUGGUGGGGGUUGGAAAGUUUCGGCGGUUGGGGAUGGACUCGCGGCUUAUCAGCUUGUUGGUGGGGUAGUGGCUUACCAAGGCUUUGGCGGGUAGCCGGCCUGAGAGGGUGACCGGCCACCUUGGGACUGAGAUACGGCCCAGACUCCUACGGGAGGCAGCAGUGGGGAAUAUUGCACAAUGGGCGGAAGCCUGAUGCAGCAACGCCGCGUGCGGGAUGACGGCCUUCGGGUUGUAAACCGCUUUCGCCUGUGACGAAGCGUGAGUGACGGUAAUGGGUAAAGAAGCACCGGCUAACUACGUG